AAAGGCAUGAGGGCAGCUUGAAUGAUUAAACAUUAAGCUGAAAGGCAGCAUUUGGAAGAGACCUGAGUGGGGACCUCCCUGCUGGAUUAAAUGAAACGUUCUCCUUGCAGAAAACGGAGAAAAAAACUCGGCUGCAGGCAGGAGGUUCUCUCUAUAUAAGUGAACGCUUCUGUUGUUCCCUGUUGUGGUGUCCAAUAAGCACAGCCACUCGUGGUUUCUCAGGUCCCUCAGAGCACUUAUCCAGUCUCAUUUUAGCUCCUGCCUCAAGGUUUUGUGGACGCAUCUGCAUGAUUUCUACAAAUCCUAUUACACCUUAUACGUGGAGAAAUGAGGACACAGAUGUCUUGGCACAGGAUUUGCACUGAAGAAUCACAGCUCAGUAUUAUUGGUCUUUUCCUUCCUCUCACUGCUGGGCUGCUCAUGUUCAAGAGCCGGAUGGUCACAGGCCUUAUAAGCUUCUUUUCUUAACCUGACUGCCCACGGAAAUGAGGUAUUUGCAACACUGCUUUUCAUCUGGUGGUGAGGUUUGUUUUG
rnacentral:lncRNA from 1 species